rnacentral:lncRNA from 1 species
UUGUCGUGCUGGUGGUGGUGGUGGUGGUGGUGGUGGUGAUGAUGAUGAUUCUCCUUAUUAUUUAUAUUAUUAUGGCGCACAGCUGAUGAGGAGGCGAUGGUUAUGGAUGGGGCCUCACUCCGAUAUACAUACAUGGCUGUUGCUGGUUCGGUACUGGUCACCUGCCAUCAUUCCUUGCAUACAUACAUACGUAAACGCACAUGCAAGCACAUGCACCACCGGCGGUAUAUCCACACACCAACACACACACAGACACACACUCUCUCUCUCUCUCUCAAAAACUAAUCCAUACACACACACACAUACAUACACACACAUACAUACACACACUCUCUCAAAAACGUCCCCCCAACAAUUGUAUCUCUGUGUUUGUGAGCUUGGGAUUGAUUCACCCGCCCCCUAACAUUCACGAGCUCCCACACCGUGUACAUGUGCUGAUGUACUACUCUGUACUGCUGUAUUGCCGGACCUUGGACCACUCUUCAGAUGCGAAUGUACAUGCCAUGCAAAGCUGCUGCAUUUGUGCGCUGCGUGUUGUGUUCCUCACACGCGGCUGUUGAAUUCCAGUUCUUUCGACCGUAAGAGGCAGGAUGCACCCCCAUGCCGGCGUUGGACAGCGAUGGACCUGGUUAUAGCGACCUGCGGAACCGAUUGGGAGUGGAGUUGACGCUGCUGCCGUUGAUCCCGCAGAUUCCGCAGAUUCCCGCAGAGCCGGCAUGCAUGCGAUGGAUGAGUUCUCCCCCAAACAUGUGGAAAGGUAGGACUGCCCGGCUAUUGUCCGUGGGCAAAGCUGUACCCCCCCUACACCACACAUUUAUGUUCUGCAUCUGUGCAUGUGAGUUGGGCAUGUGUAUCUAUCUCUGAUAGGAAAGCCACCUCAUGAACCUGCUUGCGUGAGCAAACCCCGGACGACCGUUACACAUUUGCUUACAGCUCCCUUUCCUAUCCUCUCCUUUCCCAUCCAAAGCCCAUCGUCAUAUCUUCCUCGCCUUCUCUCCUCCCUGUCUGCGCUUGUUGGCGUGUGCCCACGAUUUCAUCAAAAGUGUUCCUGCAGUCGAUCACGAUGGGACUCGAACCCACAAUCCCCGCCUGAAUCCCUGGCGUAAAACCGGAGGGCGAUGCACUUAUCCAUUAGGCCACGCGACCACUGCGAUGACACGCAGCACACACAUCGGGUCUCAUACGCCCCGUUGCUAGACGACAUGGGAGCUGCGAANNNNNNNNNNNNNNNNNNNNNNNNNNNNNNNNNNNNNNNNNNNNNNNNNNNNNNNNNNNNNNNNNNNNNNNNNNNNNNNNNNNNNNNNNNNNNNNNNNNNNNNNNNNNNNNNNNNNNNNNNNNNNNNNNNNNNNNNNNNNNNNNNNNNNNNNNNNNNNNNNNNNNNNNNNNNNNNNNNNNNNNNNNNNNNNNNNNNNNNNNNNNNNNNNNNNNNNNNNNNNNNNNNNNNNNNNNNNNNNNNNNNNNNNNNNNNNNNNNNNNNGUGGCGUGUAGUGGAUGUCCUUUGGCGUGUUGAGCGCCUCUACCCCAAAGUGGGGGAAAGGAAGCGCUGCAAAUUUGUUGAUUUGCAUACCGCCGUUGUAGGCUUUUGCUCGAUGCUGCUGAUGAGAGGAGAGGAGAGGCCCCGACUUGCUGCAAUCCGCACCAUCCGCAUGACUCUCAUUUGACUCACCAUCGUCAGAUGGUCAUGGUUGUCGUGGUGGUGGUGAUGGUUGUCGUGCUGGUGGUGGUGGUGCUGGUGGUGGUGGUGGUGAUGAUGAUGAUGAUUCUCCUUAUUAUUUAUAUUAUUAUGGCGCACAGCUGAUGAGGAGGCGAUGGUUAUGGAUGGGGCCUCACUCCGAUAUACAUACAUGGCUGUUGCUGGUUCGGUGCUGGUCACCUGCCAUCAUUCCUUGCAUACAUACAUACGUAAACGCACAUGCAAGCACAUGCACCACCGGCGGUAUAUCCACACACCAACACACACACACUCUCUCUCUCUCUCUCUCUCUCUCUCUCUCUCUCUCAAAAACUAAUCCAUACACACACACACACACAUACAUACACACACUCUCUCAAAAACGUCCCCCCAACAAUUGUAUCUCUGUGUUUGUGAGCUUGGGAAAGAUUCACCCGCCCCCUAACAUUCACCAGCUCCCACACCGUGUACAUGUGCUGAUGUACUACUCUGUACUGCUGUAUUGCCGGACCUUGGACCACUCUUCAGAUGCGAAUGUACAUGCCAUGCAAAGCUGCUGCAUUUGUGCGCUGCGUGUUGUGUUCCUCACACGCGGCUGUUGAAUUCCAGUUCUUUCGACCGUAAGAGGCAGGAUGCACCCCCAUGCCGGCGUUGGACAGCGAUGGAUCUGGUUAUAGCGACCUGCGGAACCGAUUGGGAGUGGAGUUGACGCUGCUGCCGUUGAUUCCGCAGAUUCCGCUGGAAUUUGGUGGUGCGUGCUCAACACCAAAAAGCCGCUGACGUUGCAUGAGCCGGCAUGCAUGCGAUGGAUGAGUUCUCCCCCAAACAUGUGGAAAGGUAGGACUGCCCGGCUAUUGUCCGUGGGCAAAGCUGUACCCCCCUACACCACACAUUUAUGUUCUGCAUCUGUGCAUGUGAGUUGGGCAUGUGUAUCUAUCUCUGAUAGGAAAGCCACCUCAUGAACCUGCUUGCGUGAGCAAACCCCGGACGACCGUUACACAUUUGCUUACAGCUCCCUUUCCUAUCCUCUCCUUUCCCAUCCAAAGCCCAUCGUCAUAUCUUCCUCGCCUUCUCUCCUCCCUGUCUGCGCUUGUUGGCGUGUGCCCACGAUUUCAUCAAAAGUGUUCCUGCAGUCGAUCACGAUGGGACUCGAACCCACAAUCCCCGCCUGAAUCCCUGGCGUAAAACCGGAGGGCGAUGCCUUAUCCAUUAGGCCACGCGACCACUGCGAUGACACGCAGCACACACAUCGGGUCUCAUACGCCCCGUUGCUAGACGACAUGGGAGCUGCGAGUCUGCGCGGCCCCAUCCCACAAUCACAUCACCUUCACGGGCGUGUUUUGCUGGGCACACGGGGGCAUUUAGGCGUGGCCGACCGGUUGUCGGGGCAAGGAUAUUAUUCUCAAUAUGUGCGGGUGCACAUUCUGUUCGUUGCAUUCUGUUCCCCACUGCACCGAACAUCGUCCCCCUAUAUGAGUGUGCAUAUGCAUGUGUCGGGCAGGGAGAGGUCAUCAUCAAAUCGCUGCGUGUGCUAGUACUGGGGCUGCAUGCAUGCCUUUUUUCGUAGGUGCGGGCCAGAAUGCUUCAGAGUAACCAAGUACAGCGUUCUUGGGCGUGUAGUGGAAGUCCUUUGGCGUGUUGAGCGCCUCUACCCCAAAGUGGGGGAAAGGAAGCGCCGCAAAUUUGUUGAUUUGCAUGCCGCCGUUGUAGGCUUUUGCUCGAUGCUGCUGAUGAGAGGAGAGGAGAGGCCCCGACUAGCUGCAUCCGCACCAUCCGCAUGACUCUCAUUUGACUCACCAUCGUCAGAUGGUCAUGGUUGUCGUGGUGGUGGUGAUGGUUGUCGUGCUGGUGGUGGUGGUGGUGGUGGUGGUGGUGGUGAUGAUGAUGAUUCUCCUUAUUAUUUAUAUUAUUAUGGCGCACAGCUGAUGAGGAGGCGAUGGUUAUGGAUGGGGCCUCACUCCGAUAUACAUACAUGGCUGUUGCUGGUUCGGUACUGGUCACCUGCCAUCAUUCCUUGCAUACAUACAUACGUAAACGCACAUGCAAGCACAUGCACCACCGGCGGUAUAUCCACACACCAACACACACACACACACACACACACUCUCUCUCUCUCUCUCUCUCAAAAACUAAUCCAUACACACACACACAUACAUACACACACAUACAUACACACACUCUCUCAAAAACGUCCCCCCAACAAUUGUAUCUCUGUGUUUGUGAGGUUGGGAAAGAUUCACCCGCCCCCUAACAUUCACCAGCUCCCACACCGUGUACAUGUGCUGAUGUACUACUCGGUACUGCUGUAUUGCCGGACCUUGGACCACUCUUCAGAUGCGAAUGUACAUGCCAUGCAAAGCUGCUGCAUUUGUGCGCUGCGUGUUGUGUUCCUCACACGCGGCUGUUGAAUUCCAGUUCUUUCGACCGUAAGAGGCAGGAUGCACCCCCAUGCCGGCGUUGGACAGCGAUGGACCUGGUUAUAGCGACCUGCGGAACCGAUUGGGAGUGGAGUUGACGCUGCUGCCGUUGAUCCCGCAGAUUCCGCUGGAAUUUGGUGGUGCGUGCUCAACACCAAAAAGCCGCUGACGUUGCAUGAGCCGGCAUGCAUGCGAUGGAUGAGUUCUCCCCCAAACAUGUGGAAAGGUAGGACUGCCCGGCUAUUGUCCGUGGGCAAAGCUGUACCCCCCUACACCACACAUUUAUGUUCUGCAUCUGUGCAUGUGAGUUGGGCAUGUGUAUCUAUCUCUGAUAGGAAAGCCACCUCAUGAACCUGCUUGCGUGAGCAAACCCCGGACGACCGUUACACAUUUGCUUACAGCUCCCUUUCCUAUCCUCUCCUUUCCCAUCCAAAGCCCAUCGUCAUAUCUUCCUCGCCUUCUCUCCUCCCUGUCUGCGCUUGUUGGCGUGUGCCCACGAUUUCAUCAAAAGUGUUCCUGCAGUCGAUCACGAUGGGACUCGAACCCACAAUCCCCGCCUGAAUCCCUGGCGUAAAACCGGAGGGCGAUGCCUUAUCCAUUAGGCCACGCGACCACCGCGAUGACACGCAGCACACACAUCGGUUCUCAUACGCCCCGUUGCUAGACGACAUGGGAGCUGCGAGUCUGCGCGGCCCCAUCCCACAAUCACAUCACCUUCACGGGCGUGUUUUGCUGGGCACACGGGGGCAUUUAGGCGUGGCCGACCGGUUGUCGGGGCAAGGAUAUUAUUCUCAAUAUGUGCGGGUGCACAUUCUGUUCGUUGCAUUCUGUUCCCCACUGCACCGAACAUCGUCCCCCUAUGUGUGUGUGCAUAUGCAUGUGUCGGGCAGGGAGAGGUCAUCACCGCUCGCUGCAUGUGCUAGUACUGGGGCUGCAUGCAUGCCUGUUUUCGUAGGUGCUGGCCAGAAGGCUCAAGAGUACCAAGUACAGGCGGUCUUGGGCGUGUAGUGGAUGUCCUUUGGCGUGUUGAGCGCCUCUACCCCAAAGUGGGGGAAAGGAAGCGCCGCAAAUUUGUUGAUUUGCAUACCGCCGUUGUAGGCUUUUGCUCGAUGCUGCUGAUGAGAGGAGAGGAGAGGCCCCGACUUGCUGCAAUCCGCACCAUCCGCAUGACUCUCAUUUGACUCACCAUCGUCAGAUGGUCAUGGUUGUCGUGGUGGUGGUGAUGGUUGUCGUGCUGGUGGUGGUGGUGCUGGUGGUGGUGGUGGUGAUGAUGAUGAUUCUCCUUAUUAUUUAUAUUAUUAUGGCGCACAGCUGAUGAGGAGGCGAUGGUUAUGGAUGGGGCCUCACUCCGAUAUACAUACAUGGCUGUUGCUGGUUCGGUACUGGUCACCUGCCAUCAUUCCUUGCAUACAUACAUACGUAAACGCACAUGCAAGCACAUGCACCACCGGCGGUAUAUCCACACACCAACACACACACACUCUCUCUCUCUCUCUCUCUCUCAAAAACUAAUCCAUACACACACACACACAUACAUACACACACUCUCUCAAAAACGUCCCCCCAACAAUUGUAUCUCUGUGUUUGUGAGGUUGGGAAAGAUUCACCCGCCCCCUAACAUUCACCAGCUCCCACACCGUGUACAUGUGCUGAUGUACUACUCUGUACUGCUGUAUUGCCGGACCUUGGACCACUCUUCAGAUGCGAAUGUACAUGCCAUGCAAAGCUGCUGCAUUUGUGCGCUGCGUGUUGUGUUCCUCACACGCGGCUGUUGAAUUCCAGUUCUUUCGACCGUAAGAGGCAGGAUGCACCCCCAUGCCGGUGUUGGACAGCGAUGGACCUGGUUAUAGCGACCUGCGGAACCGAUUGGGAGUGGAGUUGACGCUGCUGCCGUUGAUCCCGCAGAUUCCGCUGGAAUUUGGUGGUGCGUGCUCAACACCAAAAAGCCGCUGACGUUGCAUGAGCCGGCAUGCAUGCGAUGGAUGAGUUCUCCCCCAAACAUGUGGAAAGGUAGGACUGCCCGGCUAUUGUCCGUGGGCAAAGCUGUACCCCCCUACACCACACAUUUAUGUUCUGCAUCUGUGCAUGUGAGUUGGGCAUGUGUAUCUAUCUCUGAUAGGAAAGCCACCUCAUGAACCUGCUUGCGUGAGCAAACCCCGGACGACCGUUACACAUUUGCUUACAGCUCCCUUUCCUAUCCUCUCCUUUCCCAUCCAAAGCCCAUCGUCAUAUCUUCCUCGCCUUCUCUCCUCCCUGUCUGCGCUUGUUGGCGUGUGCCCACGAUUUCAUCAAAAGUGUUCCUGCAGUCGAUCACGAUGGGACUCGAACCCACAAUCCCCGCCUGAAUCCCUGGCGUAAAACCGGAGGGCGAUGCCUUAUCCAUU